GGAGGCGGGAGAAGCCAUCGGUACUCUCGGGGUAGGGGUGAAAUCCUGUAAUCCCGGGAGGACCACCAGUGGCGAAGGCUGUUGGCUAGAACGCGCUCGGCGGUGAGGGACGAAAGCUGGGGGAGCGAACCGGAUUAGAUACCCGGGUAGUCCUAGCUGUAAACGAUGCGGGCUAGGUGUUGGAGUGGCUACGAGCCACUUCAGUGCCGCAGGGAAGCUGUUAAGCCCGCCGCCUGGGGAGUACGGCCGCAAGGCUGAAACUUAAAGGAAUUGGCGGGGGAGCACCACAAGGGGUGAAGCUUGCGGUUUAAUUGGAGUCAACGCCGGGAACCUUACCGGGGGCGACAGCAGGAUGAAGGCCAGAUUGAGGGUCUUGCUGGACGAGCUGAGAGGAGGUGCAUGGCCGUCGCCAGUUCGUGCCGUGAGGUGUCCUGUCAAGUCAGGCAACGAUCGAGACCCGCGUCCCACGUUGCUCCUGAGGAAAUUUCCAAAGAGCACACUUGGGAGACUGCCGACGA
rnacentral:rRNA from 1 species